rnacentral:tRNA from 1 species
GGUGGGUAUAGCUCAGUGGUAGAGUGCAUGCUUAGCAUGCAUGAGGUCCUGGGUUCAAUCCCCAGUACCUCCA